rnacentral:lncRNA from 7 species
AUCUAAUCACUGGUGCUAUGCAGCAAGUAAUGCUAAAAUGGCUAAACAGUAUGCUACAUAUUUUUUAUCCAGGAGAUACCAAGAAGGCAGUCGGAGGUGUUCACAGCCCCACCUCUCCUACCAGAAGACUCUGCUAAUGUCUAAAAGCAGCAGCCGUCAGCUCAGCGGCUCUCACACUGAAUGGGACCUCUUUUUCCUUGGUAAUGACAGGAGCAAGACUGUUUGAAGUGUAGUAUAGCACCAUUUGCUGCCAAGAGCUGUAUGAGGAAUUAUCAUGUUCUUACAUCAAGUCCAAGGACUUCUCUUGACUGCUGGAUAAUCAUUCCACGUAUUAACGCAAGACGCCAUAGUGCCCCAUCCCCACUCCACCCUCCUCCUGCCAUGGAUUUCUACAAAAGGAUUCUAUUUUACUUUAAGUAUUCCUCAUACUCAAGGAAUGACCUAAAAGAUCUUAAAACACAGCUGAUACAGUCAUCUACAUCUAGCCGUCAAGCCAGAUAUUGAUCAUUUACUACUGAUAGACCUGAGGUAUCAGCGCAGAUGUCUAAACUGACCCAGAAAUAGUAACAGUGAUGAAAGGGCAGAGCUGCUGCAGCAGACGUGCCAUUGCUCUAGCUCUGCUGCUGCUGAGUAGCAGCUCUGGUACCAAACACACCACACAUUCUUUAAGAAGGGGAAGUAGGAAGAACAUUCCACCACCAUUCCUGGUCUGUACUCAAAGAAGCAAAUGAAGAAGGAGAGUAAUUGUUUGCUGGUUACUACAGGAAAGAUCAUUUGCUGGGUCUUUUUAAACCAGUACAACAGGCUUGUUUGCUUCAAGCUACUUAGAUAUUAAAGAAACAAAAAUGAUUUCAAUGUUUUCAUCUCAGGGAUUGCCAGCAUCUCUGGAGGUGCAGCACUCUUUCACCUCCUUCAGCACAAACUUUACCCACAUCCCUCCAGAAGUCCUCUGCCACUGGCUUUCUUCUCUUGCCUCAACAGCAUCUCCCAUCGCCAGCCCUGGCAAACAAGAGAGCCGCGGUUCAGCCACACAAAGAGAGAACCCCACGUGCUGUGCCGGACUCAAGGCCAGCCUCAUCCAUCUUCUCUGCUCUCAGCUUCUUCAGCGCUUCAGUAAUUAGAAUUAUCAGGACUGAAAC